rnacentral:rRNA from 1 species
GACGAACGUUGGCGGCGUGCUUAAUACAUGCAAGUCAACUGAAGCAGUGGUAGCAAUAUCGCUGUGGAGGUGGCGCACGGGUGAGUAACACGUAGGUUAUCUGCCUUCAGGUCUGGCAUAACUCCGGGAAACCGGGGCUAAUAGCAGAUGAUGCUGCGGCUCGACAUCGAGACAGUUGUUAAAGCUAUGGCGCCUGAAGAUGAGCCUGCUUCUUAUUAGCUAGUUGGCGGGGUAACGGCCCACCAAGUCAACGAUCAGUAGCUGGUAUGAGAGGAUGAUCAGCAACACAGGAACGGAGACAAGGUCCAGACUACUACGGGAGGCAGAAGAAAGGAAUAUUGCUCAAUGGGAGAAAUACUGAAGCAGCAACGCAGAGUGAGGGACGAAGGGCUUUUGCUUGUAAACCUCUGUAGUGAGAGAAAAAAAUCCCAAUCUUUGGGACAUGAUGGUAUCUAAAAAGUAAGCCCCGGCUAACUACGUG